rnacentral:rRNA from 1 species
AACGAACGCUGGCGGCAGGCUUAACACAUGCAAGUCGAACGCCCCGCAAGGGGAGUGGCAGACGGGUGAGUAACGCGUGGGAACCUACCCAAAGGUACGGAACAACCAAGGGAAACUUUGGCUAAUACCGUAUACGCCCCAAGGGGGAAAGAUUUAUCGCCUUUGGACGGGCCCGCGUUGGAUUAGCUUGUUGGUGGGGUAACGGCCUACCAAGGCGACGAUCCAUAGCUGGUCUGAGAGGAUGAUCAGCCACACUGGGACUGAGACACGGCCCAGACUCCUACGGGAGGCAGCAGUGGGGAAUCUUGGACAAUGGGCGAAAGCCUGAUCCAGCCAUACCGCGUGAGUGAAGAAGGCCUUAGGGUUGUAAAGCUCUUUCGGCGGGGACGAUAAUGACGGUACCCGCAGAAGAAGCCCCGGCUAACUCCGUGCCAGCAGCCGCAGUAAAAC